GCGGGAAUAGCUUAGUUGGUAGAGCGCAGCCCUCCAAGGCUGAGGCGCAGUUUCGAAACCUGUUUCCCGCUCCA
rnacentral:tRNA from 1 species